UUGUGGGCUUCAUCUUUAACAU
rnacentral:siRNA from 1 species